ensembl:snRNA U2 U2 spliceosomal RNA
AUCGCUUCUCGGCCUUUUGGCUAAGAUCAAGUGUAGUAUCUGUUCUUAUCAAUCCGGAAGUCGGUCGAGGGGCGGUCGAGUGGCGCGCCUGAGAAAACGAGCCGAAGGCGUAGAUGGGCACCGAUU